rnacentral:rRNA from 1 species
ACUCAAAGGAAUAGACGGGGGCCCGCACAAGCGGUGGAGCAUGUUGCUUAAUUCGAGGCAACGCGAAGAACCUUACCCAGGUUUGACAUUAAUAUGACCGGUGGUGAAAGCCGCCUUCCCUUCGGGGCAUAUCAACAGAUGCUGCAUGGCUGUCGUCAGCUCGUGCCGUGAGGUGUUCGGUUAAGUCCGGCAACGAGCGCAACCCGUGCCGUCAGUUACCAUCAGGUAAAGCUGGGGACUCUGGCGGGACCGCCCGUGUCAAGCGGGAGGAAGGCGCGGAUGACGUCAAGUCCGUAUGGCUCUUACGCCUGGGGCUGCAAACGUGCUACAAUGGCCGGUACAAAGGGGAGCGAGUCCGCGAGGCCAAGCGAAUCCUUAAAACCGGCCCCAGUUCGGAUCGCAGUCUGCAACUCGACUGCGUGAAGCCGGAAUCGCUAGUAAAGGGGCAUCAGCAACGGCCCCUUGAAUACGUUCCCGGGCCUUGUACACACCGCCCGU